rnacentral:rRNA from 1 species
GACGAACGCUGGCGGCGUGCUUAACACAUGCAAGUCGAACGGAAAGGCCCUGCUUUUGUGGGGUGCUCUAGUGGCGAACGGGUGAGUAACACGUGAGUAACCUGCCCUUCACUUUGGGAUAACUUCAUGAAACUGGGGCUAUUACCGCCUAGGAGCUCCUGCUGCAUGGUGGGGGUUGGACAGUUUCGGCGGUUGGGGAUGGACUCGCGGCUUAUCAGCUUGUUGGUGGGGUAGUGGCUUACCAAGGCUUUGACGGGUAGCCGGCCUGAGCGGGUGACCGGCCACAUUAGGAUGGAGAUGCGGCCCAGACUCGAAUGGGAGGCAACAGAGGGGAAUAUUGUACAGUGGGCGGAAGCAUGAUGCAGCAACGCAGCGUGCGGGAUGAGGGCAAUCGGGUUGUAAACCGAAUUUGCCUUUGACGAGGCGAGAGUGACGGUAAUGGGUAAAGAAGCACCGGCUAACUACGUG